UACGAAGGGGGCUAGCGUUGCUCGGAAUCACUGGGCGUAGAGCGCACGUAGGCGGACUCUUAAGUCGGUGGUGAAAUCCUGGAGCUCAACUCCAGAACUGCCUUCGAUACUGAGAGUCUCGAGUCCGGGAGAGGUGAGUGGAACUGCGAGUGUAGAGGUGAAAUUCGUAGAUAUUCGCAAGAACACCAGUGGCGAGGGCGGCUCACUGGCCCGGUACUGACGCUGAGGUGCGAAAGCGUGGGGAGCAAACAGG
rnacentral:rRNA from 1 species